UUUGGCACUAGCACAUUUUUGCUUUGCUUUAUGUGUUUUGAGCAAUUAUGUGUAGUGCCAAUAU
rnacentral:pre_miRNA from 1 species